rnacentral:pre_miRNA from 1 species
AAUACUUGUCGCUUUAAGUUUUUGUUUGUAAAGUUUGAUCAUUCGUCUUAUUCAAAAUAUUAUGGAAUUAUUAUUUAUUUUUUUUGACUUGCUUUAUUAUCAAUACUACUUUAAGUAUGACUUAUCAUUUUUUAUAUUUGCACUAAUUUUUCAAAUAAGACGAAUGGUCAAACAUCGAAAGAAAAAAGUCAAAGUGACAACUAUU